rnacentral:tRNA from 1 species
UGGAUUAUAAUUUAAAUAAAAAUACUUGAAUUGCAAUCAAAAAUUACUUUAAAAAUAAAGUUAAUCUAA